rnacentral:rRNA from 1 species
AAAUAGAACUUUGCAGAGAGAGUUAACAGGGCGUGAAACCGUUGAUUGGCAAACGAAUCGGAGCCACGAAGUCGUUUCGUUGUUAGUUGGGCGGAGUUCAGUUCGCGCCGAAAGACGCGGGCGUACUCUCACGCUCAUCCAACCUUGUAAGCGUACACUGCAACUUGUUAGACGAUCAGCUGUGGGCUGAGUGACGCAGAGCGAGCAAUCGCGCUGCGGCACGCAUUGUCUGUUCGCUCGCGGUAGUAGUAGCGCAGCUGACUUCGGUCUUUUUGUGUUGCUGGCCGCGUGGCGGGUGAACUACAGCUGAAUACUGACAAGCGAAAUGAAAACCGUUGAAAAACGUUAGAGAAAAAGCGGUUGGUCACAUGGAUGUUUACACGUUCGACUGUUAGGUCUAAGCUUGGCAUUUUUGAAUUCAGACCUGCUUGCUACCAGUGAGGCAACUCCUGGUGCUUGUACGGCUUCUGUCUAAUCGGGUGUCGACUUGGCUUGGAAUCGUUCGGGCGUGAAACGAUUGAGCGUUCAUAUGAACUAAUCCGCAAUUUAAAUUGGCAGUGAGUAGGUCGGCUUUCCGAACGA